UUGCUUUGGCAGUACAGAUAAUAAAAAACUGGAACAAUACAGAGAGGCAUGGCCCCUGCUCAAGGAUAACACUCAAACUGGUGAAGCAUUCAGUAGUUUU
ensembl:snRNA U6 U6 spliceosomal RNA